GCUGAAAUGCACACGCAUGCAGGGCUUGUGGACAUGCAACAGGGAGAGAGAUGGUUGAGUGAUGGGCUGCCACAUUAGCAGCGCUGCAUGAGCGGGCUUGCCUUGCUCAAGGGCACCUCGGCAGUCCACAGGAGGUGGAACUGGCACCUCUCCAGCUACCAGGCCACGUUCCAUAUUGUGGUCUGUGGGAUUUGAACCUGCGACCCUCCAGUUCCCAAGCCAAGUCCCUACACACUGAGCUUCUUUCUUUCUUUCUUUCUUUCUUUCUUUCUUUCUUUCUUUUACUCUUGUUGUAUUCCUGUCCCAUAUGUACUUGUCUACUUUUUCUUUUUUUUCUGUCUUCUUCUUUCCCUUUUUCUAUUUUCGGCUAAAACACCACUUCCCCUUGUUGCUUCUCAACACUUACAAAUACGCACACGCACACACACACACACACACACACACACACACACACACACACACACACUGAAGUCCUUUACAAUAGGCUGCACUGUACCCAUUUUCAUCUAUCAUCUAUCUCUAACCUAACCCAUGUUGAUUUAUUGAUUUAUUUGUCUUUGUUUGUUUUGGUCACACAAUGUGUCUUGUUUCACCUGUCUGUUUUCACAAAAUUAAAAGAAUUUUAGAAAAAGAGCCUGUCCCUGUCUGGUGUGAUUCAAUAUACAAUGUCAUAUACAAGUGUUAAUAAUAUAAAGAGAAAGCAGUUAUAGCUAAAUGAUAAUAAGAAUACUAGAAUGAGAAUAAUCCUUUUACUAGGACAGCUGGCAGUGGUACUGCAGUGUUUAAUGGGGAUCAUCAGUGUAUCAGGUAGUUUUGUCUCAUAUGAACCACAGUGCUGUCAGACAGGAAGUUGCAGUCAGUAUUUUAGCUUUCCACUCACGGGUGAUAUGAACAAGUUUCCCUGAAAGCUUCAGAGAUCUGACACAUCCAAAAACAACCAUGGCGUUCCACAUGAGGAUCAUCAUCAUUUUCAUAGUGAUAAGCUCAUCUGCUACUGAGAAAGUGACGAACCUGACAGGCACUGAGGGAGGAUCCAUCACUCUACCUGACCCUGUGGUGAAGCAUGGAUUUCUCCUCUUUGGAGGAAAGAAUGUUGCUAUGGUGAUUAACGGGAAUUCCAUGAUAUAUGAGGAAACUUUGAAGGACAAAGUUCUGUGGGACAAAAGCACUGGACUGUUUACAAUCACAGGACUGCAGAGGAACGACUCAGGGAUUUAUGUUAUUGACCCUAAAACAGGAAUCGCGUCCACUACAACCUAUCAACUCACAGUGUAUGAACCCGUCCCUCCUCCUGCAGUGAAGUCAGUGAGUGUGAGCACUGAGAGCUGCAUCCUGCUGUGUUCGGUGGAGAAAGCUGAAGGGACGACACUGCUGUGGUACAAAGACGAGGAAAUAGUGAACCAGAGCAGCUCCGCUCUCUCUCUGCCUCUCAGUGUACUCAAGGAUUUCAACUCCUCUUACAGAUGUGUGUCUGCCAACCCUGCUGAAGAGAAGACUGCUCCAGUCAAUGUUAGCACAACCUGCAGUGGACAGAUCAGCACAAGUAGCAGCAACAGACAGUGCUGGUGGUGGGUCCGGAUUCUUGUGGUUGUGUUUGUGGGUCCUGUUGUUGUUUACAUCAUUUUUACAAACGUGAAGAAAGAAAGAGAGACAAAGAGAGAGAGAGACAGACAGAGAGAGAGACGGCUGCUCCAUCCACUCUACACUGAGGUCCCAGUGAAACCACUGUAUGCCACCUGCCCUGCACCAAACCAAUAA
rnacentral:lncRNA from 15 species